rnacentral:rRNA from 1 species
UAUACCGUGAAACUGCGAAUGGCUCAUUAAAUCAGUUAUCGUUUAUUUGAUAAUACCUUACUACUUGGAUAACCGUGGUAAUUCUAGAGCUAAUACAUGCUGAAAAUCCCGACUUCGGAAGGGAUGUGUUUAUUAGAUAAAAAACCAAUGCCCUUCGGGGCUCUUUGGUGAUUCAUGAUAACUUUACGGAUCGCAUAGCCUUGCGCUGGCGACGGUUCAUUCAAAUUUCUGCCCUAUCAACUUUCGAUGGUAAGGUAUUGGCUUACCAUGGUUUCAACGGGUAACGGGGAAUUAGGGUUCGAUUCCGGAGAGGGAGCCUGAGAAACGGCUACCACAUCCAAGGAAGGCAGCAGGCGCGCAAAUUAUCCAAUCCCGACACGGGGAGAUAGUGACAAUAAAUACUGAUACAGGGCUCUUUUGGGUCUUGUAAUUGGAAUGAGUACAAUUUAAACCUCUUAACGAGGAACAAUUGGAGGGCAAGUCUGGUGCCAGCAGCCGCGGUAAUUCCAGCUCCAAUAGCGUAUAUUAAAGUUGUUGCAGUUAAAAAGCUCGUAGUUGAAACUUGGGCCUGGCUGGCGGGUCCGCCUCACCGCGUGCACUCGUCCGGCCGGGCCUUCCUUCUGAAGAACCUCAUGCCCUUCACUGGGCGUGUUGGGGAAUCAGGACUUUUACUUUGAAAAAAUUAGAGUGUUCAAAGCAGGCCUUUGCUCGAAUACGUUAGCAUGGAAUAAUAAAAUAGGGCGUGCGUUUCUAUUUUGUUGGUUUCUAGAGACGCCGCAAUGAUUAACAGGAACAGUCGGGGGCAUCAGUAUUCCGUUGUCAGAGGUGAAAUUCUUGGAUUUACGGAAGACUAACUACUGCGAAAGCAUUUGCCAAGGAUGUUUUCAUUAAUCAGUGAACGAAAGUUAGGGGAUCGAAGACGAUCAGAUACCGUCGUAGUCUUAACCGUAAACUAUGCCGACUAGGGAUCGGGCGAUGUUCUUUUUCUGACUCGCUCGGCACCUUACGAGAAAUCAAAGU